rnacentral:rRNA from 1 species
UACAGAGGGUGCUAGCGUUAAUCGGAUUUACUGGGCGUAAAGCGUGCGUAGGCGGUUUGAUAAGUCGAUUGUGAAAGCCCUGGGCUCAACCUAGGAAUUGCGGUCGAUACUGUCAGACUAGAAAACGGUAGAGGGAGGCGGAACUCCAGGUGUAGCGGUGAAAUGCGUAGAUAUCUGGAAGAACACCGAUGGCGAAGGCAACCUCCUGGGCCUGUUUUGACGCUGAGGCACGAAAGCGUGGGUAGCAAACAGG